rnacentral:rRNA from 1 species
AUGCGCUCCAAGCUCUUCCGCUCCCUCCUCGCUGACGGGCUGGACGGAUUCGUCCCGCUGGCCGUCGGCUUCCGCACCAACGAGCAGCUCCCCCCGCCGGCAGCCUCCGCGGCCACGGUCCGAAAGGCCGCCAUCCAGGCGCUCGAGCGCUGGCACCACCUCUUCGGCGUGCACUACCGCCAGCUCCGUCUCGCAGUCGACUACCUCAAGUCGUCCGCGCGCAUCCAGUUCCCCGGUCUCCGCGCGGCCGUCGAGGCCCGUGCCGCGCGGGAGGCACGCACGCAGGAGAUCUUGACUGCCAAGGUCGAACAGUUGCGGUCCACGAUUGGAUCCAUAAAGGCUGAAAUCCGGUCCACCAUCGAAGAGAUCCGCAACGGGCUGGGCAUCAUCCGGGCUGAGUAUGAGAAAUUCGAGCGUUAUGCAGAUGAGGAAGAGGAGGAGGAGAUUGCUUCAAUGGCAAUGCGGAGUAUCAGGACAGCAUCAUUGAUGGCUGGGCAGUGGGUGCCUGAAACUCAGGAAAACGAGGCAGUUUUUGAUGCGUUGAGGGAGGCGUACCGGCUCCUUAUAUCGAAGCAUUUCAGCACCAUUCAGGAUUGGAUAUCUGUGCUUGUUAGGGUCAAUCUUGCAGAUAAUCGGUUCAGAGAUUCUGCAUUGAAGGAAUUCAUUGAUGUUAAGAAUGAAAUACGUGCUGUAAGAGGCCAGUGCAAUGAGCUUGGUCUCGAUCUUGAUAAUGUUCGUAGGAAGAAGGAUGUUCAGGAGGAAGAUGAAGAGGAUUGGGUGGAGGGAAAGAUUGAAGUUCCUAGUCCUCCUAGAGUUGAUAGCACUGUAGAUGUUGCAGGAGAUGGAUCCAGAGAGAAAAAAGCUCCUUACUGA